AGCGAACGCUGGCGGCAGGCUUAACACAUGCAAGUCGAGCGGGCACCUUUCGGGGUGUCAGCGGCGGACGGGUGAGUAACGCGUGGGAACGUGCCCUCUGGUUCGGAAUAACUCAGGGAAACUUAAGCUAAUACCGGAUACGCCCUUUUGGGGAAAGGCUUGCUGCCGGAGGAUCGGCCCGCGUCUGAUUAGCUAGUUGGUGAGGUAACGGCUCACCAAGGCGACGAUCAGUAGCUGGUCUGAGAGGAUGAUCAGCCACACUGGGACUGAGACACGGCCCAGACUCCUACGGGAGGCAGCAGUGGGGAAUAUUGGACAAUGGGCGCAAGCCUGAUCCAGCCAUGCCGCGUGAGUGAUGAAGGCCUUAGGGUUGUAAAGCUCUUUUAUCCGGGACGAUAAUGACGGUACCGGAGGAAUAAGCCCCGGCUAACUUCGUG
rnacentral:rRNA from 1 species